rnacentral:rRNA from 1 species
AUGAGGCAUCUCCAUUCUGUAUGCUUUCUCCUACUCUCUUACACUUACCUCCGACUAUGCGCAGUCACGCCGGUGAGGGCCGACAACCGGCGUGAAGCUGAAGCACUUGUGAAGUGGAAGGCUAGCUUGGCCAGUGCCGAUGACUCCCUUGGGUCAUGGUCGAUGACCAACUCCGCAAGCCUUUGCAGGUGGACGUACAUCACUUGCGACUCGGCCAGGCACAUCAAAGAGCUCAGCAUUUACCAAGCAAGUCUGAAUGGCACACUUGACGAGCUCGACUUCUCGGCCUUCCUACACCUGAAGCAACUCACUCUGUUCGAGAAUGGUCUACAUGGCACAAUUCCAUCAGGAAUUGGCAACCUGACAAGCUUGGUCGUGUUGGAGAUCAUGGGCAGUCUGAAUUUGAGGGGCGCCAUUCCACGCAGCAUUGGCCAGCUGAAGCACCUUGCUCUACUGCAUCUAACCUUUUUGGGCCUCAAUGGCACGCUGCCUGAAGAGAUUGGUAACUUGACGAAGUUGGAGAUGCUCGACCUGCACUCCGUUACUUUGAUUGGAUCAAUCCCACCAACAAUUGGGAUGCUUGGGAAGCUCCGGGAGCUGAGACUUAGAGGCAACAAUUUGACAGGGAGCAUCCCAAUGGAGAUUGGAAACAUGACACAGCUGCAAAUCAUGGAGCUGGACUCUAACCAUUUGGAAGGGCAGCUGCCAGGUACCAUCUUUCAUCUGGUAAAACUCCGGUAUAUGACUCUGUCAGAAAAUCAGCUGGUAGGUACCAUCUCCCCGGAGCUUGGGAAUAGCAGCCUCUGGGAUGUCGAUAUUGCACACAACAACUUCUCUGGGCUGUUCCCAUCAUCCAUUUGCGUAGCAGGAGCGCUGAGUGCGGUCAGUGCUGGAUACAAUGGGUUUACGGGUAUUCACCGUCAGACAUUUAAAAACUGCACAACCCUUGAACGGGUUGACUUCACGGCAAACAACAUUGUUGCAGAGCUAAGUGACUGUUUUAGUGAGCAUCCAGGACAGCUUAAAACCAUGGCUUUCAGUCAAAACCAGCUGCAUGGCACGCUUCUGACGGAUCGUGGUGAGGAUUUCCUUUGUAAUUAUACUCAUUUACACUUACUAGACCUAUCAAACAAUGCCUUACAUGGAGGUCUUUCCAAGUGUUUCUGGAAAUUACAAUAUUUGCAAUUCCUGGAUCUGUCUAGCAACUCUUUCAGUGGUGUAGUUCCGUUCUCGACGACAUGUCAAGAACGUCUUAAAUAUCUACUCCUAGCCAAUAACAAUUUUACAGGAACCUUUCCUCUGGGUCUUAAGAGAUGCAAAAAGCUUGCUGUUCUAGAUCUUGGAGACAAUGAUUUUUCUGGUACAAUACCUUCUUGGGUAAGCAUGAGUUUGCCUCGACUCAACUUUCUUCGACUGUCAUCAAACAUGUUUGACGGCAUCAUACCCCACGAGAUCUUACAAUUUCGCCAGCUCCAAGUAUUAGACUUGUCCAAAAACAAGCUCACAGGACCCAUUCCAGACGAUUUUACGAAUUUUACUGGCAUGGCACAAGAACAGAACAACAAUGACUUCACAUACAGUGAUGCAUAUUCUUAUGAAGUGAAAAUUCAAAUAGUUUGGAAGAAUGCAGAUCGUCUUUACAUUGUGGUGAUAGCAGGCAUGGCCGGUAUCGACUUGUCUGGAAACUCGUUGUCACAGGAGAUCCCAAAUGGGUUCACAACCCUUCUUGGACUCAGAUACCUGAACUUAUCAGGAAAUCAUCUGUCAGGUUGUAUCCCUGAAGACAUUGGCAAUCUAGUACUGCUGGAAUCCUUGGACCUUUCUCGGAACCAACUCAGGGGGGAAAUUCCUCGAGGCUUUGCAGAUUUGAAGAGCAUAACCGCUCUGAACCUCUCAACCAACAUGUUAUCAGGGAGGAUACCUAUGGGUGAUCAGCUGCGGACACUUGAUGACCCGUCAAUAUACAGCAAUAAUCUUGGGUUAUGCGGGAAACCGUUGGAAGACUGCGUAAGCUCGUCAACACCGACGCAAGCUGAAACGAGUCUGGAUGAAGAUAGAGAGGCACUGUGGUUUUACUGCUUCGUGGCUGCUGGGUUUAUCUCUGGGUUCUGGCUAUACUUGGGUUUCUUGUUUCGCAGCGAGACAUGGAGGUAUUCAUUCUAUCAGUAUGUGGACAACAUGCAAGCGAAGGUGACCAAGAAGAUACGAAGCUGCAUUUCAUGGUUCCAGGUCAAAGGGCCUGAAUGA